rnacentral:lncRNA from 1 species
AGCAUACCCAGAUUCCAAGUACUGUGAAAGACAUAUGCAUAGAGGCAGAAAUCGUUCAAGAAAGCCUGUGGAACUUACUUCUUCAACUACUAAUAACACAACAGCUAGUACAGUGACAAAUCCUUCACUAUCAAUCAACAGAAGCCUCUCUGCCACCACCACUAAUAACAAUACUACUUCACCUUCUGGCUCCUCUUACUCUUUCUCUCCUCUUUCUUCACCUAUGGAACCUGAAUUCCAUGCUUCUGGCCACAACAACAUCCUCAGUCCAUUUCCUUACUCUCAUUCUUCAUCAUCUAGACCUCA